AUGAAACCUUACAGGUAGCAAGUAGAUAGGGAAUAUUUUUUUUAGACCUUUUAAAGGUGUCAGACUCUCAGUUAAUCUUCCAAGAUCAGACCAAGGAAAGCUUCAGAGAAAGCCUGGCUGCAUCAAUGAAGAUUUGUCUCUACAAAGGCAGAUCUCCCUGACAAAAGCAUCAAUUGCUCUACAAUUUGGAGAUAUCAGACGAACAGAGGGAAAAUGCAGUCAGUGGUCUAAAGCUGCCCCUUAGGAAAUCUAAGGCUAUAUCUGGUUCCAUAAAGUCUUUAAUCAGUCAGUCAGAACAACUGCAGCAUUCCUGCCGCUCAGAAUACCUUAAUGGCCUUAGUAGCUGAGGUCCUCACAGCACUGGCAAGAGCAACAUGGCAUUGGAAUGGGAGGACUGAGCAAGACGGAAGAAGCCAAAGACUCUCUGGUCAUUGCAGAAGGAAGAAUGAGAGCCCAAGCCUGAGGAAGAUAAAAUGAGAUGAUUUGGCUUAAUAUGAAUUAAGGCAGCUGCCAGUGGUUCUGUAAUGAGCAAACUGAUUAUUUUUUUAUGUAGCCUCUAUUCACAUUUUUAUGUUUGAUUUUGUCCUUUGAUUGUAAUGACAGGUUGUGGUUACACAUUAUUAAAGAUGAAUACUAAAGAAGCGACUAAAUAAAAAGGCAAGAAAUUGAGGAUGAUUGGUAUAAUCCCAGCAGGGAAGCAGAUGAGGAAAGGCAGAAGAUAAAGUUUUUUUUAUGUCUCUGCUACUGUGUGCUCCUCACCUACACAUGUUGGAAUAAACUUAGAAUAUUUCCUUUAUUCAAUGGUAUUGUUGU
rnacentral:lncRNA from 10 species